UACCAGCACCCCGAGUGGUCGGGACGAUUAUUGGGCCUAAAGGCAUCCGUAGCCGGUUCUUGCAAGUCCCCCGUUAAAUCCAGCUGCUCAACAGAUGGGCCGCGGAGGAUACUCCAGAGCUAGGAGGCAGGAGAGGCAAGCUGGUACUCAGUGGGUAGGGGUAAAAUCCGUUGAUCCAUUGAAGACCACCAGUGGCGAAGGCGGCUUGCCAGAAUGCGCUCGACGGUGAGGGAUGAAAGCUGGGGGAGCAAACCGG
rnacentral:rRNA from 1 species